AUUGAACGCUGGCGGCAGGCCCAACACAUGCAAGUCGAGCGGUAGAGAGAAGCUUGCUUCUCUUGAGAGCGGCGGACGGGUGAGUAAUGCCUAGGAAUCUGCCUGGUAGUGGGGGAUAACGUUCGGAAACGGACGCUAAUACCGCAUACGUCCUACGGGAGAAAGCAGGGGACCUUCGGGCCUUGCGCUAUCAGAUGAGCCUAGGUCGGAUUAGCUAGUUGGUGAGGUAAUGGCCCACCAAGGCGACGAUCCGUAACUGGUCUGAGAGGAUGAUCAGUCACACUGGAACUGAGACACGGUCCAGACUCCUACGGGAGGCAGCAGUGGGGAAUAUUGGACAAUGGGCGAAAGCCUGAUCCAGCCAUGCCGCGUGUGUGAAGAAGGUCUUCGGAUUGUAAAGCACUUUAAGUUGGGAGGAAGGGUUGUAGAUUAAUACUCUGCAAUUUUGACGUUACCGACAGAAUAAGCACCGGCUAACUCUGUGCCAGCAGCCGCCGUAA
rnacentral:rRNA from 1 species